UACGAAGGGGGCUAGCGUUGCUCGGAAUCACUGGGCGUAAAGGGUGCGUAGGCGGGGCUUUAAGUCAGGGGUGAAAUCCUGGAGCUCAACUCCAGAACUGCCUUUGAUACUGAAGAUCUUGAGUUCGGGAGAGGUGAGUGGAACUGCGAGUGUAGAGGUGAAAUUCGUAGAUAUUCGCAAGAACACCAGUGGCGAAGGCGGCUCACUGGCCCGAUACUGACGCUGAGGCGCGAAAGCCAGGGGAGCAAACGGG
rnacentral:rRNA from 1 species